AUUGAACGCUGGCGGCAUGCUUUACACAUGCAAGUCGAACGGUAACAGGCCUUCGGGUGCUGACGAGUGGCGAACGGGUGAGUAAUGCAUCGGAACGUGCCCAGAGGUGGGGGAUAACGCAGCGAAAGCUGUGCUAAUACCGCAUGUGAUCUGAGGAUGAAAGCGGGGGACCAAGCAGCAAUGUUUGGCCUCGCGCCUCUGGAGCGGCCGAUGUCAGAUUAGGUAGUUGGUGGGGUAAAGGCCUACCAAGCCGACGAUCUAUAGCUGGUCUGAGAGGACGACCAGCCACACUGGGACUGAGACACGGCCCAGACUCCUACGGGAGGCAGCGGUGGGGAAUUUUGGACAAUGGGCGCAAGCCUGAUCCAGCAAUGCCGCGUGCGGGAAGAAGGCCUUCGGGUUGUAAACCGCUUUUGUACGGAGCGAAAAGGCUCUGGCUAAUACCUGGGGCUGAUGACGGUACCGUAAGAAUAAGCACCGGCUAACUACGUG
rnacentral:rRNA from 1 species